rnacentral:tRNA from 1 species
GAGAUAAUAGUUUAAUGGAAGAACUGUUCCUUGCCCGGAAUUGAUGCAGGUUCGAAUCCUGCUUAUCUCCCCA